rnacentral:rRNA from 1 species
CCUACGGGAGGCAGCAGUGAGGAAUAUUGGUCAAUGGACGAGAGUCUGAACCAGCCAAGUAGCGUGAAGGAUGACUGCCCUAUGGGUUGUAAACUUCUUUUAUAAGGGAAUAAAACGAGGCACGUGUGCUUUUUUGCAUGUACUUUAUGAAUAAGGAUCGGCUAACUCCGUGCCAGCAGCCGCGGUAAUACGGAGGAUCCGAGCGUUAUCCGGAUUUAUUGGGUUUAAAGGGAGCGUAGAUGGGUUGUUAAGUCAGUUGUGAAAGUUUGCGGCUCAACCGUAAAAUUGCAAUUGAUACUGGCAGUCUUGAGUACAGUUGAGGUAGGCGGAAUUCGUGGUGUAGCGGUGAAAUGCUUAGAUAUCACGAAGAACCCCGAUUGCGAAGGCAGCUUACUAAACUGUGACUGACAUUGAUGCUCGAAAGCGUGGGGAGCAAACAGGAUUAGAUACCCUUGUAGUC